AGUGAACGCUGGCGGCAGGCCUAACACAUGCAAGUCGAACGGCAGCACAGUAAGAGCUUGCUCUUACGGGUGGCGAGUGGCGGACGGGUGAGGAAUACAUCGGAAUCUACUUUUUCGUGGGGGAUAACGUAGGGAAACUUACGCUAACACCGCAUACGACCUACGGGUGAAAGCAGGGGAUCUUCGGACCUUUCGCGAUUGAAUGAGCCGAUGUCGGAUUAGCUAGUUGGCGUGGUAAAGGCCCACCAAGGCGACGAUCCGUAGCGGGUCUGAGAGGAUGAUCAGCCACACUGGAACUGAGACACGGUCCAGACUCCUACGGGAGGCAGCAGUGGGGAAUAUUCGGCAAUGGGCGCAAGCCUGAUCCAGCCAUACCGCGUGGGUGAAGAAGGCCUUCGGGUUGUAAAGCCCUUUUGUUGGGAAAGAAAAGCAGCAGGUUAAUACCCCGCUGUUCUGACGGUACCCAAAGAAUAAGCACCGGCUAACUUCGUG
rnacentral:rRNA from 1 species